rnacentral:rRNA from 1 species
GAAUCGGCCUUGGUGUGGGGGAUAAAGAAGGGAACCUUUCGCUAAUACCGCAUACUACCUACGGGUGAGAGUGGGGGACCGGAAGGCCUCACGCGGAAAGAUGAGCCGACGUCGGAUUAGCUAGUUGGUGGGGUAAUGGCCCACCAAGGCGACGAUCCGUAGCUGGUCUGAGAGGAUGAUCACCCACACUGGGACUGAGACACGGCCCAGACUCCUACGGGAGGCAGCAGUGGGGAAUAUUGGACAAUGGGCGAAAGCCUGAUCCAGCCAUGCCGCGUGGGUGAAGAAGGCCCUCGGGUUGUAAAGCCCUUUUGUUGGGAAAGAAAUCUUUCCGGUUAAUACCCGGAGAGGAUGACGGUACCCAAAGAAUAAGCACCGGCUAACUUCGUGACAGCAGCCGCGGUAAUAGGGG